rnacentral:misc_RNA from 1 species
UCGAUUCCUGCCGGGCAGCGACGACGUCUCGACCAAGCCUCUUCAGUUGUUGGUUCAAGCGCGAGCAUUCGCCUUGGCCGACGUCGGUUUCCUGUGCUGAAUUCCCACACAAAGGGCAAUCGUUUCGGCCACCAUCGUCCCGUACUCCUCCUUUCGUCGCUGCUCCGCACGGAGACGCGGCGCGGGGAGGACAUCAAAGCCCCCGUCGUGUUUCGCAAUCCGCGCACCCCUCCGCACGGGGUGCUCGGGUUGUCGACCCACGACGUUGUGCUCGAUCUCUCGGAUGCGGAAAACCAAGCGGCUACGAGGCCACGGCCUCUACUGCCCCCCA